rnacentral:rRNA from 1 species
GAAUGCUGACAUAAGUAACGAUAAAGCGGGUGAAAAGCCCGCUCGCCGGAAGACCAAGGGUUCCUGUCCAACGUUAAUCGGGGCAGGGUGAGUCGACCCCUAAGGCGAGGCCGAAAGGCGUAGUCGAUGGGAAACAGGUUAAUAUUCCUGUACUUGGUGUUACUGCGAAGGGGGGACGGAGAAGGCUAUGUUGGCCGGGCGACGGUUGUCCCGGUUUAAGCGUGUAGGCUGGUUUUCCAGGCAAAUCCGGAAAACCAAGGCUGAGGCGUGAUGACGAGGCACUACGGUGCUGAAGCAACAAAUGCCCUGCUUCCAGGAAAAGCCUCUAAGCAUCAGGUAACAUCAAAUCGUACCCCAAACCGACACAGGUGGUCAGGUAGAGAAUACCAAGGCGCUUGAGAGAACUCGGGUGAAGGAACUAGGCAAAAUGGUGCCGUAACUUCGGGAGAAGGCACGCUGAUAUGUAGG